CAGUCGAACGGCAGCACGGGGGCAACCCUGGUGGCGAGUGGCGAACGGGUGAGUAACGCAUCGGAAUGUACCCAGUAGUGGGGGAUAACUAGUCGAAAGACUGGCUAAUACCGCAUACGCACUACGGUGGAAAGCGGGGGAUCGCAAGACCUCGCGCUAUUGGAGCAGCCGAUGUCCGAUUAGGUAGUUGGUGGGGUAAAAGCCUACCAAGCCUGCGAUCGGUAACUGGUCUGAGAGGACGACCAGUCACACUGGGACUGAGACACGGCCCAGACUCCUACGGGAGGCAGCAGUGGGGAAUUUUGGACAAUGGGCGAAAGCCUGAUCCAGCAAUGCCGCGUGUGUGAAGAAGGCCUUCGGGUUGUAAAGCACUUUUGGCGGGAACGAAACUGCGCUUGCUAAUACCAGGCGCGACUGACGGUACCCGCAGAAUAAGCACCGGCUAACUACGUGCCAGCAGCCGCGGUAAGACGUAGGGUGCAAGCGUUAAUCGGAAUUACUGGGCGUAAAGCGUGCGCAGGCGGCUUUGUAAGACGGAUGUGAAAUCCCCGGGCUCAACCUGGGAACUGCAUUCGUGACUGCAAGGCUAGAGUGUGUCAGAGGGAGGUGGAUUCCGCGUGUAGCAGUGAAUGCGUAGAGAUGCGAGACACCGAUGGCGAAGCAGCCUCCUGGGAUACACUGACGCUCAUGC
rnacentral:rRNA from 1 species